rnacentral:rRNA from 1 species
GAUGAACGCUAGCGGCGUGCUUAACACAUGCAAGUCGAGGGAACACACCAGCGACAUCCUGCUCUUGAUUUACGGCCGGACGGGUACGGAAGAGGAACGUAACCUCCCUCUAAGCAUGACUUAGCUACAACCUACCGAAGCUAAGACCGGAUCAUAAAUUGAUCCCCAGAAGACAACAGUAAAGGAUGAAAUUUCUAUCGCUGAUGGAUGGAGACGCGUCGCAUUAGCUAGUUGGUGAGGUAACGGCUUACCAAGGCAACGAUCCGUAGCCGACCUGAGAGGGUGAUCAGCCACCCUGGAACUGAGACACGGCCCAGACUCCUACGGGAGGCAGCAGUAGGGAAUCUUCCACAAGGGGCGAAAGCCUGACGGAGCAACGCCGCGUGAGUGAUAAAGGUCUUCGGAUCGUAAAACUCUGUUAUUAGGGAAGAACAAAUGUGUAAGUAACUAUGCACGUCUUGACGGUACCUAAUCAGAAAGCCACGGCUAACUACGUG